AAGCGACCUCAGUUCGGAUUGAAGGCUGAAAUUCGCCUUCAUGAAGUCGGAAUUGCUGGUAAUGGCAGGUCAGCAUACUGCCGUGAAUACGUUCCCGGGCCUUGUACACACCGCCCGUCACACCAUGAGAGUUGGAGAUACCCGAAGCCUAUGAGCUAACUUUUAGAGGCAGUAGUCGAAGGUAGAAUCAAUGAUUGGGGUGAAGUCGUAACAAGGUAGC
rnacentral:rRNA from 1 species